GACGAACGCUGGCGGCGUGCUUAACACAUGCAAGUCGAACGGAAAGGCCCUGCUUUUGUGGGGUGCUCGAGUGGCGAACGGGUGAGUAACACGUGAGUAACCUGCCCUUGACUUUGGGAUAACUUCAGGAAACUGGGGCUAAUACCGGAUAGGAGCUCCUGCUGCAUGGUGGGGGUGGGAAAGUUUCGGCGGUUGGGGAUGGACGGGCGGCUUAUCAGCUAGUUGGUGGGGUAGUGGCUUACCAAGGCUUUGACGGGUAGCCGGCCUGAGAGGGUGACCGGCCACAUUGGGACUGCGAUACGGCCCAGACUCGUACGGGAGGCAGCAGUGGGGAAUAUUGCACAAUGGGCGGAAGCCUGAUGCAGCAACGCCGCGUGCGGGAUGACGGCCUUCGGGUUGUAAACCGCUUUCGCCUGUGACGAAGCGGGAGUGACGGUAAUGGGUAAAGAAGCACCGGCUAACUACGUG
rnacentral:rRNA from 1 species